rnacentral:rRNA from 1 species
AUGAACGCUGGCGGCGUGCCUCAUCCCUGCCAGUCGAGCGAACAGACGAGGAGCUUGCUCCUCUGACGUUGGCGGCGGACGGGUGAGUAACACGUGGAUAACCUACCUAUAAGACUGGGAUAACUUCGGGAAACCGGAGCUAAUACCGGAUAAUAUAUUGAACCGCAUGGUUCAAUAGUGAAAGACGGUUUUGCUGUCACUUAUAGAUGGAUCCGCGCCGCAUUAGCUAGUUGGUAAGGUAACGGCUUACCAAGGCAACGAUGCGUAGCCGACCUGAGAGGGUGAUCGGCCACACUGGAACUGAGACACGGUCCAGACUCCUACGGGAGGCAGCAGUAGGGAAUCUUCCGCAAUGGGCGAAAGCCUGACGGAGCAACGCCGCGUGAGUGAUGAAGGUCUUCGGAUCGUAAAACUCUGUUAUUAGGGAAGAACAAAUGUGUAAGUAACUAUGCACGUCUUGACGGUACCUAAUCAGAAAGCCACGGCUAACUACGUG